GAUGAAGAACGUAGCGAAAUGCGAUAAGUAAUGUGAAUUGCAGAAUUCAGUGAAUCAUCGAAUCUUUGAACGCACAUUGCGCCCGCCAGUAUUCUGGCGGGCAUGCCUGUUCGAGCGUCAUUACAACCCUCAGGCCCCCGGGCCUGGCGUUGGGGAUCGGCGGAAGCCCCCUGCGGGCACAACGCCGUCCCCCAAAUACAGUGGCGGUCCCGCCGCAGCUUCCAUUGCGUAGUAGCUAACACCUCGCAACUGGAGAGAGGCGCGGCCACGCCGUAAAACACCCAACUUCUGAAUGUUGACCUCGAAUCAGGUAGGAAUACCCGCUGAACUUAAGCAUAUCAAUAAGCGGAGGA
rnacentral:misc_RNA from 1 species